rnacentral:lncRNA from 1 species
UUGAAACCGUCACACUAUUGAAAAGUGUAUAAUCAAAGGCUAGAUCUAGAUGGUCUGACCUGAAAGUAAAUAAACAAGUGUAUAAAAAGGAAUUAUAGGACAGCAACGAUAGGGUACAUUAAUUUAUUUUUUAAUUAAGAUAUAUUAAUUUAUAAUCAAAAUUUACAAUUUUAUUUAAGUAUAGUUAAUUAAAAACUAAUACAAAAAAUUAAAUGAAUUGCACUGUACAAACGUCCUAAACAGGAGGGUGGCUCUUAAUGUAAAGUUAUUAAUAUUAGCCAUUCUCACAAUACUGUUUAAAUAUAUUGUAAGCAAAAUCAUUUAUAAAUUAAAGUUAGUGUUAAAAAAAAAAAAAAAAUCGAGUGGAAUAAGCAAUUGCGACUGACCUUGACUCUCUCUCUCUCGUCUCACUAAUGAUUUAUUGAUUUAUGUCACAAAGUUUGCCCAAAAAGAAACAUUGCUUUUUAAAAUGGAAGCCUUUUGUAAAGUAAACCUUUUUCCUCUUUUUAGAAAGUAACCGUGUUUUUUUGGGGGAUUCACUCAACUCCAACAAUAAGUCGAAGAUCGUUUAUACAAGUCGAAGAUAGUUUACUUUGUAUAAUUGAUAAAUAUAUAAUUAAAUAUUUUUAUUUUUAAAAAUAGAAUUUUUCUAAUUCU